GACAAAAAUGAGGAUAGUAAGCAAAACCAAGGACAAGAGAAAACACUGAAUAAAGAUCGGGGACAGAAGCAAGAGCAGGAACAACAGAAACAAAACAAAAAAAAAGGCUGAAAGAUCCAAGUACUUAAGAGUGAACUUUGAGAGACAGCUUCAAAAUCAUCACUAAGCAAUGCUUGGCAAUCUGCAGCUAAUAAUAAAGAAAACGUCAAUGUUUGGAUCAAGUUAUUAAAUGAAUAUUUGAGCUAGUCUAUUAACUUUUAUUGAAGUGUGAUUUAGCCAAUUAAAAAUAUGCCCUUAUG